rnacentral:rRNA from 1 species
UACGUAGGGGGCAAGCGUUGUCCGGAUUUAUUGGGCGUAAAGAGCGUGUAGGCGGUUUGGUAGGUCCGCUGUGAAAACUCGAGGCUCAACCUCGAGACGCCGGUGGAAACCAUCAGACUAGAGUCCGGAAGAGGAGAGUGGAAUUCCUGGUGUAGCGGUGAAAUGCGCAGAUAUCAGGAGGAACACCGGUGGCGAAGGCGGGUCUCUGGGCCGAAACUGACGCUGAGGAGCGAAAGCGUGGGGAGCAAACAGG